GACGAACGCUGGCGGCGUGCUUAACACAUGCAAGUCGAACGGAAAGGCCCUGCUUUUGUGGGUUUCUCGAGUGGCGAACGGGUGAGUAACACGUGAGUAACCUGCCCUUGACUUUGGGAUAACUUCAGGAAACUGGGGCUAAUACCGGAUAGGAGCUCCUGCUGCAUGGUGGGGGUUGGAAAGUUUCGGCGGUGGGGGAUGGACUCGCGGCUUAUCAGCUUGUUGGUGGGGUAGUGGCUUACCAAGGCUUUGACGGGUAGGCGGCAUGAGAGGGUGAACGGCCACCUUGGGACUGAGAUACGGACCAGAAUCCUACGGGAGGCAGCAGUGGGGAAUAUUGCACAAUGGGCGGAAGCCUGAUGCAGAAACGCUGCGUGCGGGAUGACGGCUUUCGGGUUGUAAACCGCUUUCGAAUGUGACGAAGCGUGAGUGACGGUAAUGGGUAAAGAAGCACCGGCUAACUACGUG
rnacentral:rRNA from 1 species